rnacentral:rRNA from 1 species
UACGGAAGGGGCAAGCGUUGUUCGGAAUCAUUGGGCGUAAAGGGCGCGUAGGUGGUUCUGUAUGUCUACCGUGAAAGCGUACGGCUCAACCGUAUUUUGUCGGUAGAAACUGCAGGACUUGAGGCUGGGAGGGCUGGUGGAAUUCCCUGUGUAGCGGGUGAAAUGCGUAGAGAUGGGGGAGAACACUCGUGGCGAAGGCGGCCAGCUAGACCAGUUCUGACACUGAGGCGCGACAGCGUGGGGAGCAAACAGG